CCUUAGGGCGGGGUGAGAUUCCCCACCGGCGGUAUAGCCCGCGUACCUGCUGUAGCAGGUUGAUCCGGUGUGAUUCCGGAGCCGACGGUUACAGUCCGGAUGAAAAAGGU
rnacentral:ncRNA from 1 species